GAUGAACGCUGGCGGCGUGCCUAAUACAUGCAAGUCGAGCGGACGGGCCCGACGCUUGCUUCUCUCAUGUUAGCGGCGGGCGGGUGUGUCACACGUGUAACACCUCCCUGUAAGUCUGAGAUCACUUCGGGAAACCGUAGAUAAUCCCGUAUGAUCUCUUGAACCGCGUGGUUCAAAGGUAAGAGUCGGUCUUGCUGUCUCUUCUCGCUGCAUACGCGCUGGUUUAGCUGGUUGGUACGGUAACAGCUUACCACGGCGACGAUGCAUGACCGACCUGUGAGAGUGAUCGGCCACACUGGAACUGAGACACGGUCCAGAGUACUACGGGAGGCAGCAGAAGCGAAUCGUCCGCAAUAGGCGAAAGCCUGACGGAGCAACGCCGCGCGAGUGACGAAGGUCUUCGGAUCGUAAAGCUCUGUUAUUAGGGAAGAACAGAUGUGUAAGUAACUGAGCACAGCUUGACGGUACCGAAUCAGAAAGCAACGGCUAACUACGUG
rnacentral:rRNA from 1 species